rnacentral:tRNA from 1 species
CGCCCGAGACGGGACUCGAACCCGUAACUUUCAGAUUCACUUGUUCGUAAAAGUCUGACACGCUAACCAAUUGCGUCACCCGGGC